UUCGCAAUGCCCGAAAGGGUGACGAAGCGACGCCGCGUGUGGGAAGAAGGCCUUCGGGUUGUAAACCACUGUCAGGAGUUAAGAAAUGUAAGGAUGUUAAUAGCGUCCUUGCUUGACUAAGGCUCCAGAGGAAGCCACGGCUAACUCUGCGCCAGCAGCCGCGGUAAUACAGAGGCGGCAAGCGUUGUUCGGAAUUACUGGGCAUAAAGCGCGCGUAGGUGGUCUUGUAAGCGAGGGAUGAAAUCCCAUGGCUCACCCAUGGAACUGUCUCUCGGACUGCAAGGCUUGAGGGCGGGAGGGGAGAGUGGAAUUCCCGGUGUAGCGGUGAAAUGCGUAGAUAUCAGGAGGAACACCGGUGGCGAAAGCGGCUCACUGGACCGUUACUGACGCUGAGGGUGCGAAAGCUAGGGGAGCAAACGGGAUUAGAUACCCCGGUAGUCCUAGCCGUAAACGAUGGGCACUAAGUAGAGGGGUUUU
rnacentral:rRNA from 1 species